rnacentral:rRNA from 1 species
UACGGAGGGUGCAAGCGUUGUCCGGAUUUACUGGGUUUAAAGGGUGCGUAGGUGGGUUGGGAAGUCAGUGGUGAAAUACUUUCGCUUAACGAAGGAACUGCCAUUGAUACUAUCAAUCUUGAAUGUAGUGGAGGUAGGCGGAAUGCGUCAUGUAGCGGUGAAAUGCUUAGAUAUGACGCAGAACACCAAUUGCGAAGGCAGCUUGCUACACUACUAUUGACACUGAGGCACGAAAGCGUGGGGAGCAAACAGG